GACGAACGCUGGCGGCGUGCUUAACACAUGCAAGUCGAACGGAAAGGCCCUGCUUUUGUGGGGUGCUCGAGUGGCGAACGGGUGCGUAACACGUGUGUAACCUGCCCUUCACUUUGGGAUAACUUCACGAAACUGGGGCUACUACCGGAUAGCAGCUCCUGCUGCAUGGUGGGGGUUGGAACGUUUCGGCGGUUGGGGAUGGACUCGCGGCUUAUCAGCUUGUUGGUGGGGUAGUGGCUUACCAAGGCUUUGACGGGUAGCCGGCCUGAGAGGGUGACCGGCGACAAUGGGACUGAGAGACGGCGCAGACGCCAACGGGAGGCAGAAGUGGGGAGUAUUGCACAGUGGGCGGAAGCCGGAGGCGGCAACGCCGCGUGCGGGAUGACGGCCUUCGGGGUGUAAACAGCUGUCGCCUGUGACGAAGCGGGAGUGACGGUAAUGAGUAAAGAAGCACCGGCUAACUACGUG
rnacentral:rRNA from 1 species